GACGAACGCUGGCGGCGUGCCUAAUACAUGCAAGUUGAGCGCUGAAGGUUGGUACUUGUACCAACUGGAUGAGCAGCGAACGGGUGAGUAACGCGUGGGGAAUCUGCCUUUGAGCGGGGGACAACAUUUGGAAACGAAUGCUAAUACCGCAUAAAAACUUUAAACACAAGUUUUAAGUUUGAAAGAUGCAAUUGCAUCACUCAAAGAUGAUCUCGCGUUGUAUUAGCUAGUUGGUGAGGUAAAGGCUCACCAAGGCGAUGAUACAUAGCCGACCUGAGAGGGUGAUCGGCCACAUUGGGACUGAGACACGGCCCAAACUCCUACGGGAGGCAGCAGUAGGGGAUCUUCGGCAAUGGACGAAAGUCUGACCGAGCAACGCCGCGUGAGUGAAGAAGGUUUUCGGAUCGUAAAACUCUGUUGGUAGAGAAGAACGUUGGUGAGAGUGGAAAGCUCAUCAAGUGACGGUAACUACCCAGAAAGGGACGGCUAACUACGUG
rnacentral:rRNA from 1 species